CCUACGGGGGGCUGCAGUGGGGAAUAUUGGACAAUGGGGGGAACCCUGAUCCAGCCAUGCCGCGUGUGUGAAGAAGGCCCUCGGGUUGUAAAGCACUUUCAGUGAGGAAGAACGCCUGGUGGUUAAUACCCAUCAGGAAAGACAUCACUCACAGAAGAAGCACCGGCUAACUCCGUGCCAGCAGCCGCGGUAAUACGGAGGGUGCGAGCGUUAAUCGGAAUUACUGGGCGUAAAGCGCGCGUAGGUGGCUUGAUAAGCCGGUUGUGAAAGCCCCGGGCUCAACCUGGGAACGGCAUCCGGAACUGUCAAGCUAGAGUGCAGGAGAGGAAGGUAGAAUUCCCGGUGUAGCGGUGAAAUGCGUAGAGAUCGGGAGGAGUACCAGUGGCGAAGGCGGCCUUCUGGACUGACACUGACACUGAGGUGCGAAAGCGUGGGUAGCAAACAGGAUUAGAUACCCGUGUAGUC
rnacentral:rRNA from 1 species